CCUUUCUACAGGCGCCGUUCUCCUCUGUCCCUUUUUUUUUUCUUCCGACGACGACAUACUUCCUCCGGUGAUGGUUCAUAACCGACAACCACCACCGAAGUUGCCUUCAAACAUGUCGUCGCAGAGCUAAUCCGGGAGUAGAGGCAUCAUAACGGCUUCUGAAUCACUGCAUUUACCAAAUCGACAAUGCCCACCAAACUCUCCAGAAGAGUAAGGAUCAAGAGUCGGUUGGCUUCAUAAUGAAAGAAGAGCCAAAACGACAGAGAAUAUAGUGCAAAACAGAAGACACACAAGAAACAAAGCCAAACAUAUGACGACGGUUUCCUGAUCUAGCAUAGAUUAUGCAUCAAGGCUUUGAACUCCACUGAUUGGAAUUCGGAUUGGAAUUGUUACGAAAAUUUGGUGGAUAACCAUAUAUUUUGUAACAUUUGUUCACUGUGUGGCCUACCAACCCACAGUGAGUACAGACUGGGCGAGGUCGCUGACUACCAGAAGAACCAGAAGGCUGGAAUGAAGGACGAGGUCUAGACUGAUUCACACUAGCUUGAAACACAGCGUGUUCUUGAGAUCUGGCAGAUGAUCAAGCAUUAAAAUCUGACGGCGAGCAAGGUGAUAGGAAUCAUUCAAGUGCAUCAGAAACCUAACCACAUUUCGCCUAUCAUAAAAAUCCAUCCAACGCUGCUCAAGAUCACAAGAACAGCUACCGCAUGUACAACCACGACAACCACAUGUAGGAAACGGAUCAUGGUUCUUCAACUCUUCCCAUAAUAAGCUCAACUUCGUGUAAUAUGUUUCAAUAUUCAUGUUUCCUUGAUGAAGAGAAUCUAUAUUCUGUUGAAUAUUAGAGAUCUUCGAAACAUUAUUCUGCUUAUAGCUCUUUUCUAGUUUCUUCCAAACUUUAGCAGCUGAAUCCAGAUAUACAACCAAAUUGUAUAUAUCUGGAGCCAGUGAAUUACAGAUCCAAGUGCUGAGUAGGUCAU